UAGUACAGCAAUUUACAUAGUCACUUUUGUCACAUUGUUCAGUUAGUUUAUGAUGACAACAAUCAAUGGCGGAGCCAGGGGGUGGCCGGGGGUGGCCACGGCCACCCCCCGUAGAAUCUCGGCCACCCCAAGCACCACAUCAGAGCGGUUAAAAGUUUUGACGGCUGUGGAAAAAUGCGGAACCUUUCUCGCACCGCUAGUACACUGUUGGACCCUUUAGCCACGCGCAGCGCGCACACAUCCUGUAUUUGAAUUAAACGGCUCAAGCAUGGCCUGAGAAUGCCUGUUACCACCUGACGCUUCGACCGGCACCUGCGGCUAAGUGAAGAAACCCAAAACAGAAAGAUGUUUCUGAAAGAUUGAUUGAGAGCAGGACAGAAGAGUCCUCCCUGAGGAGUGGCCCCAGUGGAUCCCCAGGGAUGAACUUCCUGCCAAAAGAAAUGCUAGUGGGCAUCUCAGAGCAGUUUGUUAAGCCAAGGAGACACACCGGUUCUU